rnacentral:rRNA from 1 species
AGGAUAGAGGCCUACCAUGGUGGUAACGGGUAACGGGGUGUUAGGGCACGACACCGGAGAGGGAGCCUGAGAAACGGCUACCACAUCCAAGGAUGGCAGCAGGCGCGCAAAUUACCCAAUCCCGACACGGGGAGGUAGUGACAAUAAAUAACAAUACGGGGUUCUUUAGGAUCUCGUAAUUGGAAUGAGUACAAUUUAAAUCUCUUAACGAGGAACAAUUGGAGGGCAAGUCUGGUGCCAGCAGCCGCGGUAAUUCCAGCUCCAAUAGCGUAUACUAAAGUUGUUGCAGUUAAAAAGCUCGUAGUUGAAUUUCGGGGUUAGUAGGUUGGUCAUGCCUCUGGUAUGUACUGAUCUCACUGAUUCCUCCUUCCUUAUGAACCGUAAUGCCAUUAAUUUGGUGUUGCGGGGAAUUUGGACUGUUACUUUGAAAAAAUUAGAGUGUUUAGAGCAGGCUAACGCUUGAAUACAUUAGCAUGGAAUAAUGAAAUAGGACGUUCGAUCUUAUUUUGUUGGUUUCUAGGAUUGACGUAAUGAUUAAUAGGGAUAGUUGGGGGCAUUAGUAUUCAAUUGUCAGAGGUGAAAUUCUUGGAUUUAUUGAAGACUAACUACUGCGAAAGCAUUUGCCAAGGAUGUUUUCAUUAAUCAAGAACGAAAGUUAGGGGAUCGAAGACGAUCAGAUACCGUCGUAGUCUUAACCAUAAACUAUGCCGACUAGGGAU